rnacentral:rRNA from 1 species
UACGUAGGGUGCAAGCGUUAAUCGGAAUUACUGGGCGUAAAGCGUGCACAGGCGGUUUUGUAAGUCUGUCGGGAAAUCCCCGGGCUUAACCUGGGAAUGGCGAUGGAGACUGCAAGGCUAGAGUUUGGCAGAGGGGGGUAGAAUUCCACGUGUAGCAGUGAAAUGCGUAGAGAUGUGGAGGAACACCGAUGGCGAAGGCAGCCCCCUGGGUCAAAACUGACGCUCAUGCACGAAAGCGUGGGGAGCAAACAGG